GAAGCGAGGCUGUGAAGCGGAGCAAAUCUCAAAAACCGGUCCCCAGUUCGGAUUGUAGGCUGCAACUCGCCUACAUGAAGUCGGAGUUGCUAGUAAUCGCGGAUCAGAAUGCCGCGGUGAAUGCGUUCCCGGGUCUUGUACACACCGCCCGUCACACCAUGGAAGUUGGGGGCGCCCGAAGUUGCCUAAGAAAUAAGGUACCUAAGGCGAAACCAAUGACUGGGGUGAAGUCGUAACAAGGUACC
rnacentral:rRNA from 1 species